rnacentral:lncRNA from 1 species
AAGCCACCAUGCCCAGCUGUGAAAGGACUUUUUUAAAAAAGAUUCUUGUUCUUGUACAGGAUGCUGCAUCUUCUUGUAUCCCUCUGAGAAUGUCACAGAUUUUUUUAAAGUCUUCUUUAAUUCCUUUUUUGUUUCCACUUCUUCAGGAUUCUUCUUUUUUCCCCUUUAUCUGUUUAUUUUAGUUUCUGUGUUCUUCAUGAGAGGAAUUCCGUAACUAGAUGAAGAUCCUUGACUGUUCAUUCAUAUUUAAGGUAAAGCAGUUGAAUGAAUUUUUCAUUUGGUUCUUAGAAGAACUACAACUGUACUUUGAAGAAGUAUGAAGGACUCUGAAGAACUGUGAAGGACUUCAUGCCUCUGUGGUUGGGUGGUCAAGGUCAUGAGAUACUCAGAGGAUCUCUGCAAGCAACUGCCUGCAGGAAAGCAGCUGCCUUCUUGGGAUUUGCUGAUUCAUUUUGACUUUUUUUUUUAGUUUUUCUCUAGCUUCACUUCCAGCUGUUGCAGACACAAGAGAUGAAUGUCUGUUUGAUCAAGAGGAAAGGAGUAAACUUUGUUCUCUCGUAUUAUUUCUCUGCAUUAGUGAAUGUGCUUGCUUCCUAAAUCCUCAUUAGCAAAGUAUCUUCUUAUGAAGAAAUCUGUUCUGUCCUUGCCACUGGAUCCAUCUCUAUAAAGACUCUAGCAAAAAGUUCUAUAGGCACAAUCUAAUAAUAUGCAAAAAUAAAUGCAUCUU